AUUGAACGCUGGCGGCAUGCUUUACACAUGCAAGUCGAACGGUAACAGGCCGCAAGGUGCUGACGAGUGGCGAACGGGUGAGUAAUGCAUCGGAACGUGCCCAGUCGUGGGGGAUAACGCAGCGAAAGCUGCGCUAAUACCGCAUACGAUCUAUGGAUGAAAGCGGGGGAUCGCAAGACCUCGCGCGAUUGGAGUGGCCGAUAUCAGAUUAGGUAGUUGGUGGGGUAAAGGCCUACCAAGCCGACGAUCUGUAGCUGGUCUGAGAGGACGACCAGCCACACUGGGACUGAGACACGGCCCAGACUCCUACGGGAGGCAGCAGUGGGGAAUUUUGGACAAUGGGCGAAAGCCUGAUCCAGCCAUUCCGCGUGCAGGAAGAAGGCCUUCGGGUUGUAAACUGCUUUUGUACGGAACGAAACGCGCUGUGCUAAUACCACGGCGUAAUGACGGUACCGUAAGAAUAAGCACCGGCUAACUACGUGCCAGCAGCCGCCGUAA
rnacentral:rRNA from 1 species